UUUCAUCUCCCCAUUCGAAAUCUACUGUUCCCUGAGUCCACCUUCCCUCUUCUACAGCGACGAUCCUCCCUCCCUCUUCUGCAGCGACGACCCCGCGUGACGAGACCACCCUCCCGCAGCGUGCUUCAUCCCUCUCGACCACCCCGCGGAAGAUCGGCGGAAGAUCCACCACCUCUCGAUCACCCCUCCAGAGAUCUGCGCCCACAGAGGAGUUUUCCCCACUCGGAUCUGGUUUUGACAUUUGGUAAACAUUCAACCCAGAGAAUGAUGCUGGGGAGUUUGCAGAGUUUCUUUGGCCCUUCUCGAUUUUGCACCAGAGAAGCGACCAACUGCUCAGCAGUGUCUGCAACACCCAUGGCUCAA